UACAUGGGGUGCAAACGUUGCUCGGAAUUAUUGGGCGUAAAGCGCACGUAGGCGGUCGCUUAAGUCGGAUGUGAAAGCCCUCGGCUCAACUGAGGAAGUGCAUCCGAAACUGAGUGGCUAGAGUAUGGUAGAGGGUCGCGGAAUUCCAGGUGUAGCGGUGAAAUGCGCAGAUAUCAGGAGGAACACCGGUGGCGAAGGCGGUUCUCUGGGAAUGUCCUGACGCUGAGGAGCGAAAGCCAGGGGAGCGAACAGG
rnacentral:rRNA from 1 species